rnacentral:rRNA from 1 species
GUGAAAUUCCGUCGGAAUCUGGGAGGACCAUCUCCUAAGGCUAAAUACUCUCUAGUGACCGAUAGUGAACCAGUACCGUGAGGGAAAGGUGAAAAGCACCCCGGAAGGGGAGUGAAAUAGAACCUGAAACCGUGUGCUUACAAGUAGUCAGAGCCCGUUAAUGGGUGAUGGCGUGCCUUUUGUAGAAUGAACCGGCGAGUUACGAUUUGAUGCAAGGUUAAGCAGUAAAUGUGGAGCCGUAGCGAAAGCGAGUCUGAAUAGGGCGUUUAGUAUUUGGUCGUAGACCCGAAACCAGGUGAUCUACCCUUGGUCAGGUUGAAGUUCAGGUAACACUGAAUGGAGGACCGAACCGACUUACGUUGAAAAGUGAGCGGAUGAACUGAGGGUAGCGGAGAAAUUCCAAUCGAACCUGGAGAUAGCUGGUUCUCUCCGAAAUAGCUUUAGGGCUAGCCUCAAGUGAUGAUUAUUGGAGGUAGAGCACUGUUUGGACGAGGGGCCCCUCUCGGGUUACCGAAUUCAGACAAACUCCGAAUGCCAAUUAAUUUAACUUGGGAGUCAGAACAUGGGUGAUAAGGUCCAUGUUCGAAA